UCUCAUACUCAGUGUAAUGUUGACAAUACCGAGGUUGUUACAGCUCAUACUCAGUGUAAUGUUGACAAUACCGAGGUUGCUACAGCUCAUACUCAGUGUAAUGUUGACAAUACCGAGGUUGUUACUACUCAUACUCAGUGUAAUGUUGACAAUAUCGAGGUUGCUACUACUCAUACUCAGUGUAAUGUUGACAAUACCGAGGUUGCUACUACUCAUACUCAGUGUAAUGUUGACAAUAUCGAUAGGGGUGCAUAUGCUAAUACUCAAUUCAAUGCUGACAAUAAUGAAGAAGUAUACGAAAAUCUGAAAGUACAAUGAAUUAGAAACUCUUAAAUAUGUUGUGUAACUUCAUACUUUUAUUUCUGUAAUUUUAUUUGAAUAUCAAUGUGUGAUAUUAACAAAGUCACAUAUUAAUAAAACAUACUGGUCAAUAUGAAGGUAUUAUGUGUAAAACUUGAUUUGCACUUUGUUUUCGCCUAUAUAAUGUACUUAUUUUUUUCUUAUUUUAUAUGUAAUAAAUCAAUUAAUGUGGAUAA